rnacentral:rRNA from 1 species
UACGUAGGGUGCAAGCGUUAAUCGGAAUUACUGGGCGUAAAGCGUGCGCAGGCGGUUAUGCAAGACCGAUGUGAAAUCCCCAGGCUUAACCUGGGAACUGCAUUCGAGACUGCAUUGCUAGAGUAUGGGAGAGGGAAGUGGAAUUUCCGGUGUAACGGUGAAAUGCGUAGAUAUCGGGAGGAACACCAGUGGCGAAGGCGACUACCUGGCCCACUCUUGACGCUGAGGCGCGAAAGCUAGGGGAGCGAACGGG